AUUGAACGCUGGCGGCAUGCCUUACACAUGCAAGUCGAACGGCAGCAUGGAAGAGCUUGCUCUUCUGAUGGCGAGUGGCGAACGGGUGAGUAAAGCAUCGGAACGUACCGUGUAGUGGGGGAUAACGUAGCGAAAGUUACGCUAAUACCGCAUACGCACUGAGGUGGAAAGCAGGGGAUCGCAAGACCUUGCGCUAUACGAGCGGCCGAUGUCAGAUUAGCUAGUUGGUGGGGUAAAGGCUCACCAAGGCGACGAUCUGUAGCGGGUCUGAGAGGAUGAUCCGCCACACUGGAACUGAGACACGGUCCAGACUCCUACGGGAGGCAGCAGUGGGGAAUUUUGGACAAUGGGGGAAACCCUGAUCCAGCAAUGCCGCGUGAGUGAAGAAGGCCUC
rnacentral:rRNA from 1 species